UAACCCUAGGAUGCACAAGUGGGUCAAAAAUGACCCGGUGAGGUUGUUUUCUUGCAGUAUCUUUGUAAUGAAAAGUUUUUAUCUUUUCAUAUUCCAGGUAUUCCUGAAAUUACAUGUUUUUGAUAUCAUGUCAUUAAAAUUUUUAAGUUACCUCUUAUACUUUUUAAGAAAUUGUAAUAUUUGUAUUACUACCCCAAGCUUCCAUAAGUGGGUCAAAAAUGACCCACAUGCAUUUCCCAUACAAUUUCUUGGGAACCUGUGCUUCUUAUCAAUUGUGGCUGUCAAGGAUACAUUUACUGUGGACCACACACCCUAUGUUAGAAGUGUCACCGUUCAGGAAGAUUAUUUUCCACAGCAAGACCUGAUACAUUGUCAUGACUGCUAGGUUUACAGGAGAUAUGGUCAUCCAGAUGCCAAACAAGCCCACCAAGUAUGGCCUAAAGAUCUUCUGGGUUUGUGAUGCACGCAUCCCAUAUGCAAUAGAUGGGAUGGUUUACACAGGGAGACAACCAGGGGAAGAAGUUCAGAAGAAUCUGGGAGACAACAUUGUCCGGCAGUUGUGCAGUAGAUUCAGAAACACAGGUCGCAACAUCACCACAGAUAACUUUUUCACCAGUGUGCAGCAUGCGCAGCAUCUCCUGGAAAUGGAUCUCACUAUUGUGGGGACUCUACGACAGAACAAGCCAGACAUCCCUCCUCUGAUGAAGGCUUCUAAGUCCAGGGAGGUUCACAGUACAGUUUGGAUUCAAUGGCAGCAUUACCAUGGCCAGCUAUGACCUUCUAUAACAAGACCAAAGGAGGUGUUGACACCAUGGACCAGAUGGUUGGCACCUACACCUGCAAGCGACAAACACAGAGGUGGCCCAUGGUGCUGUGGUACAACAUCCUUGACAUCGCCACCCUAAAUGCCUACACCUUUUUCACGACUCAGCACCCUGAAUUCAACAGAGGUAUCACCAAUGCACGACGACUCUUGCUCAAAGAGCUCUCAAGGGAACUUAUCACACCACACAUGAGGAGUCGACUGGAAGGCUGCCCACAACUGCAAACCCCGAUCAUUGAAGCAAUGGGAAGGUGUGGGGUGACAAAAGCCACAACCCAGCCACAGGACAGAAGCACACAGGGCCAACAGAAGAGAAAGAGGUGUCAGAUCUGCCCAAGUAAUAAAGAUCGCAAAGUCAGCAAUAGGAGUGGGAAGUGCAAUGUGCCUGUGUGCAAUGAUCACAGCCAGAAACAGGUAGUCUGUCACAACUGCAUGCAGUGAGGAGACAAGAAGGCAAAACAGGGACUAUCACAUCAAAAGCUUCAGCAAACACCGACACUUACCUGCAAGAGAAUAGAAAAGAGAAAGGAACUGUCAAUGACCGGACAUUUACCCACAUACACAUAAUGAAUGUUCACAUUGUUCUGUUGCUGUUCUGUGCAGUAUUAGUUUUUUAAUUAUCAAAAUGUUUAAAAUCUGUAAUAAAGUGGAAAAUAAUAAAAUUUCAAACAUGAAA